ensembl:misc_RNA Y_RNA Y RNA
GGCUGGUCCAAUGGUAGUGAGUUAUCAGAACGUAUUAACAUUAGUGUCACUAAAGUUGGUAUACAACCUCCACUGCUAAAUUUGACUGGCUUUAA